CAGCACACCGGGUUCUAGUCCUGGUCCAGGUGCCAGAUUCUGUCCCGGUUGCUCCUCUUCCAGUCCAACUCUCUGCUGUGGCCCGGGAGGGCAGUGGAGGAUGGCCCAAGUGCUUGGGCCUUGCACCCCAUGGGAGACCAGGAGGAAGCACCUGGCUCCUGGCUUCCGAUCGGCGCAGCACGCUGGUCUUAGAGGCCAUUUGGGGGGUGAACCAAUGGAAGGAAGACCUUUCUCUCUGUCUCUCUCUCUUUCUCUCACUAACUGCCUGUUGAAGAAGAAGAAGAAGGAGAAGGAGGAGGAGAAGGAGGAGGAGGAGAAGAAGGAGGAGAAGGAGAAGAAGAAGAAGAAGGGCCAUCUUUUAAAUGUUGAAAUCAUUUCAAACUCAGGACUGAUACAAUAGUGCCAUGAGCUUCUGAACCUCCCUCUGCCAGUAAUUAAUUCUGUCUUGUUUGCAUUGUCACUCACUUUCUCUCUCUGUAUUAUUAUGUUUUUUAAAGACUGAUUUAUUUACUUGAGAGGCAGAGUUACAGAGGGAGAGACAGAGAGAAAGGUCUUCCACCCACUGGUUCACUCCCCAGAUGGCCACAACAGCUGGAACUGAUCCGAUCUGAAGCCAGGGACCAGGGGCUUCUUCCAGGUCUCCUAUACAGGUGCAAGGACUCCAACACUUGAGCCAUCUUCCACUGCUUCCACAGAGAGCUGGAUUGGAAGAGGAGCAUCCGGGACACAAACCAGCGCCCACAUGGGAUGUCAGCGCCACAGGCGGAGGCUUAGCUCACUGCACCACUCUGCCAGCUCCAUGUAUCCUAUUUCUAAUGAUGGCUUUAUUGAGUUAGCAGUUUCAUACCACACACCCUGCCCACUUAAAGUGUACUAGUCUAUGGUCUUUAGUAUGUUCGCAGACUCGUGCAGCCAACACUGCCGUCAGUGUUCAAGUACUUCUCCUUAAAAAGAAACCCUGUUCUCUUCAGCUACCCGCAGUCUCAGCCUCCAGGCAACCCCUGAUCUGCUUUCUGGUGCUGCGUGAAACAGGAGGGUCUUCAAAACGUUCAUGAGGAUGGGACCCGUGCAAAAAACUCCGCAUAGGCUUCAAAGAUGGUUCUGCACCCUGUCUUUUUUUUUUUUUUUUUUUUUUCCACAGGCAGAGUGGACAGUGAGAGAGAGAGACAGAGAGAAAGGUCUUCCUUUGCCGUUGGUUCACCCUCCAAUGGCCACCGCGGCCGGCGCACCGCACUGAUCCAAUGGCAGGAGCCAGCUUCCAUUUUCUCAUUGAUUAAAAAACAAACAAAAAGAGUCGAUCUCUCUGGAGCAAGGUUACUGCGCUGUGUAACACCUGGAGAAAGGGGUCAUCUUGGAAUUGUGCAGAGAACCCCCGGAGCGAGCGUGUGUCACGUGGAUUAAGUGACAUAACUCAAGCACUAGCACAGGCCUGAGACAGCGGAUAACAAGCUGGCUAAAUAUAAAAGGGGCUUGCUGCAUCUUCGCUGGCUUCGGAGACAGAGGAAUUGGAGUAAAACCGCACACCCAUGCAGCGUAGAAGCUCAGCUUGGCCCCUUUCCUCUCUACUGCUUUCUUCAAAAAUGGCACUUGCUACACACCUCAUUACACCAAGUGCACCAGGGUACUUCAACAAGGUCAUGGAGAAAUGAAUUAAAAGGUAACUCUACUUUUAGUUCAAAAAGGUGUUUUUUAAAAAAAUAUGUAUUGUAAGAAGAAAGGCGGUGCAGAUUGGUGCCUCCUCACACAGGGCACCAAAUGUCAGAGAAAGGGCGCAGAACGGAGAGGAGACAGAUACAAACUCGCAGCCAGACCGAAUUUAUGGAAAAUAAAUGAAAGUUUAAAGACAAUAAACGCAUAGAGGUCGACCCACUGCCGGUGUGCACACAGACUGAACACGUGGCAGGGGGCCCAGACCCCGGCAGGCCGGGCCUUUUUAUACUUGGGUGGGCUAGGAGUGGGGGUGGGGGCAGUAGGAGGAGGUGAGCUUCCCCAUUAAGGUGCUUCAAGCCUGGUGCACCGGCUUCCAAACCUGGGGAGGAAUGCGGGGUGUGAGGCAGAAUUGGUCUCUUGGAAGAAGGCAGGGCUAACAAGAGCCUAAAAUGGCUGAGGCCAAUGUCCCUGUUCCAGCAUGUGUAUGUAAAUACUUACAUAGUCUUUCCCUAGUAGGACUUACUGUGGACUUUGAAGACCUCCUGAGACUGAAAGGGGC